CCUACGGGAGGCAGCAGUGAGGAAUAUUGGUCAAUGGGCGAAAGCCUGACGCAGCGACGCCGCGUGAGGGAUGAAGGUCCUCGGAUCGUAAACCUCUGUCAGCAGGGAAGAACGGUCACUGUGCUAAUCAGCAGUGAAUUGACGGUACCUGCAAAGUAAGCACCGGCUAACUCCGUGCCAGCAGCCGCGGUAAUACGGAGGGUGCGAGCGUUAAUCGGAAUUACUGGGCGUAAAGCGCUCGUAGGCGGUAUGUCAAGUCAAGGGUGAAAUCCCCGCGCUCAACGUGGGAACUGCCUUUGAAACUGGCAGACUGGAGUGAGUGAGAGGAUAGUGGAAUUCGAGGUGUAGGAGUGAAAGCCGUAGAUAUCUAGAGGAACAUCAGUGGCGAAGGCGAGUAUCUGGCACAUAACUGACGCUGAGGAGCGAAAGCGUGGGUAGCAAACAGGAUUAGAUACCCGGGUAGUC
rnacentral:rRNA from 1 species